ACAGAACGCGCUGUAUCCUUCCGCUGCUACGCCCAGCGCACUAUUCAGUAGAUGCAGCUGUUGAAUUUGAAAACAUACACGCUUUGAUUUCACGAGAAGAUCUGGUUGACCAUAGUCUGGAGGAUUGGCAUUGGGGUUAUAGCCCAGUCUGCGGAGCAUUGGAGCGAUGUUCUCCAUGUCUUCUUGGACAUCUGCUGGAAUGUGGCCCACCCAACGAGUCAGAGCCUCCAGAUUUACAGGUUUGAUCACCUGAUCAGUGGAACGUUCAGUCCUUAAAAAACGAAGUGGGAAAGUGAACAUUGACAAGAUCCCCUUGGAUCCCCUCCAGGACGGCAACUGGCACAGCCGACACUUUGAGGCAGAUGGCAUCUUCUGCCUGCUCGUCAUUCAAGCAUCUCAGGGCAUCUGCACAGUCCUCUCUCACUACCCUCUGCCAGAACUCUUCUCAGUGCCUUGACUCCUCCAUCUUGUCCUCCAUGCAUGAACGGGAGGCAGUCUGGGGUGUGAGCGGUGUUUCAAUGACUGUUGCCCACAGAGAAGCACUAAGUGUACAGGCCUGCCAAAACCCUCCAACCAAUUGCUCAUUCAGACACUGAAAAGACCUGGAACCGACCACAACCAAGACUGCACAGACAGAAAAGAAUAGGCUGCCCAUUUUCAACAGAUCCCUCUGAAUGUCUUAUUUCCUACAUUCACAAAAAGUACCAAAAAGUGUGCUUUUUGAACAUUAACCAUGGUAUAACCAUAUGUAUUUAUUUAUUGACUAGUACCAUGGUAUUACUGUUUUGUUUUGGACAUUGUAACUGGUAAUAACUUGUUAUUCUGGACAUGUACCAUGUUAAUGCUAUGUUCUUUUGGACAUAUAGCAUGAUAUUACCAAGGUUUGUAACAUGGUAGUAUCAUUUUUUUGAUGCAUUUUGAUGAUUUGAUAAAUACCAUGAUACACGAAUACAGUAAUUAUUAAGAAACCAAAAUGUAGCAUAGUAUUAAUAUGGUCUUUUAGGGCAUGGUAACAUGGUAAAACCAUACUUUUUGGACAAUAACCAUUUUAAUACCAUGAUACAUGAAUACAGUGAUUAUUAAGACACAAAAAAGUACCAGUAUGAACCACAGUAGGACUGUAACUGAAAAUUAUUCUGAUAAUCGACUAAUCUAAUGAUUAUUAGAACGAUUAUUCGACUAUCCGGGCGACUAUUGCAACGAUUAAUCAUUAGCUCUUAAUAACCGAUUUUUCAGCUUGUGGUCUGACAUAAAAGUUUGCAUUAAACAUGCUUAAUAAUAAUAAAGAGGACAAAAUCAUAUUUAAAAAUACCUCUAAAUUACAUUCACUGAAUUAACGAAAAAACAACUUUUUAUUAAGUUUAAUUCAGUAAACAAUUCACUGCCAAACAUUGCCAAUUUUCUUCACAAUAAGAAACACGCAGUGACAUAUAUUAUGAUUCAAUAAUUUGCCUGCAUCAUGUUAUAAUCUAGCUGCAGCAAGUGUGCGCUCGAUGAACGCAGUUUCAAUAUUUCCCCCUUAGAUCGGGACACUUCACACAACUCAUAGAUGAGGCACUGACCGCACAGACGAAUGCCAGUUUCGGAGUUUGUAGUUAUUUACAUGAUCUGCUUCCUUAUUAACACACUAAAUAUAACCGCAUUAAAGAUGUAACGCCAGGGUCAUUCCUUUAAAGAGCUCAGGCUCUGCUUAUUCCACAACGAGAGUGCUUCUGUAUUUACUUAUUUGGUAUUUUUGUAUAAUUCCCUCAUAUUUUGCGAUCUACUCCCACUGAAGCUAUUUGAAAAUUUAGCGUGCAACUGGACUGUGAUCGGUGUAAUUCUUCCUCUCCUCAGUCAUGUGCUUUCGCGUGUCAUCAUGUGAUCUAAUGAUACGUUAAAAUGAGAUCAAAUGACUAUUUGAAACGAAACUUUUUGUCAACUUAUUGUUUCAGCCCUAUACUAUAGUAUUGUUACCAGCAGGGUAACAUGGUAACAGCAUGAUUUUUUGGGUGGUUACAGCAUGCAUAAUGGUAAUACCAUGUUUAUUAGGACAUUGUACCUAGUAAUAUAAUGUUUUUUGGGCAUGUAGCAUGGAUAAAGUUUUUGGAUAAGUACCAUGGUAUAAAAUGUUAUUGGACAUGGUAGUAUUAUGUUUUUUUAGACAUGUACAAUGAUACCACCAUGAUAUACUUCAAUGUACAUUUGAGUAACAUGU